rnacentral:rRNA from 1 species
CGUUAGCGGCGGACGGGUGAGUAACACGUGGGUAACCUGCCUAUAAGACUGGGAUAACUUCGGGAAACCGGAGCUAAUACCGGAUAAUAUUUCGAACCGCAUGGUUCGAUAGUGAAAGGUGGUUUUGCUAUCACUUAUAGAUGGACCCGCGCCGUAUUAGCUAGUUGGUAAGGUAACGGCUUACCAAGGCGACGAUACGUAGCCGACCUGAGAGGGUGAUCGGCCACACUGGAACUGAGACACGGUCCAGACUCCUACGGGAGGCAGCAGAU